AAGUCGUAACAAGGUAUCCGUAGGUGAACCUGCGGAUGGAUCAUUACAGUAUAGACUAGUUUUUUUAGUCUUGCAAUACAAUUCAACCACUGUGCAUUGUUUUAUGGUGACGUUCGCGUCACCACACACACACUUUCACCAUUGAUUGAGUAACACACACACACACAUAAAAAUACGCAUAAAACUUUUAGCAACGGAUCUCUAGGCUCUC
rnacentral:misc_RNA from 1 species